rnacentral:rRNA from 1 species
CAUGCAAGUCGAGCGGAGACAGUGAGUAGCUUGCUAUGAGCUGUUUUAGCGGCGGACGGGUGAGUAACACGUGAGCAACCUUUCCCAGACAGGGGAAUAACACACCGAAAGGUGUACUAAUACCGCAUAAGACCACGGGAUCACAUGGUUCUGGGGUAAAAGAUUUAUCGGUUUGGGGUGGGCUCGCGUCCGAUUAGGUAGUUGGUGAGGUAACGGCCCACCAAGCCGACGAUCGGUAGCCGACCUGAGAGGGUGAUCGGCCACAUUGGGACUGAGACACGGCCCAAACUCCUACGGGAGGCAGCAGUGGGGAAUAUUGGGCAAUGGGGGGAACCCUGACCCAGCAACGCCGCGUGGAGGAAGAAGGUUUUCGGAUCGUAAACUCCUGUCCUUGGAGACGAGUAGAAGACGGUAUCCAAGGAGGAAGCCCCGGCUAACUACGUGCCAGCAGCCGCGGUAAUACGUAGGGGGCAAGCGUUGUCCGGAAUAAUUGGGCGUAAAGGGCGCGUAGGCGGCUCGGUAAGUCUGGAGUGAAAGUCCUGCUUUUAAGGUGGGAAUUGCUUUGGAUACUGUCGGGCUUGAGUGCAGGAGAGGUUAGUGGAAUUCCCAGUGUAGCGGUGAAAUGCGUAGAGAUUGGGAGGAACACCAGUGGCGAAGGCGACUAACUGGACUGUAACUGACGCUGAGGCGCGAAAGUGUGGGGAGCAAACAGGAUUAGAUACCCUGGUAGUCCACACUGUAAACGAUGAAUGCUAGGUGUAGGGGGUAUCGACCCCUUCUGUGCCGCAGUCAA